rnacentral:rRNA from 1 species
AGAGUUUGAUCCUGGCUCAGAAUGAACGUUGGCGGCGUGGAUUAGGCAUGCAAGUCGAGCGCCCCGCAAGGGGAGUGGCGCAAGGGUGAGUAAGGCGACGGUAACCAACCCCACGAAUGGGAAUAGCCGCGGGAAACUGCGGGUAAUGCCCAGCGACGUCACGAGGAGGCAUCUCCCCGUGACCAAAGCUCCGGCGUCGUGGGACGGGCCGUCGUGGUAUUAGCUAGUUGGCGGGGUGAUGGCCCACCAAGGCUGCGAUGCCUACCGGGCGUGCGAGCGUGGCCCGGCACACUGGGACUGAGACACUGCCCAGACUCCUACGGGAGGCUGCAGUCGAGAAUCUUCGGCAAUGGGCGCAAGCCUGACCGAGCGACGCCGCGUGGAGGACGAAGGCCUUCGGGUUGUAAACUCCUGUCGAGGGGGAGGAAGCCGCAAGGUUGACCGAUCCCUGGAGGAAGCACGGGCUAAGUUCGUGCCAGCAGCCGCGGUAAGACGAACCGUGCGAACGUUAUUCGGAAUCACUGGGCUUAAAGCGCGUGUAGGCGGGACGGUGCGUCGGUCGCUGAAAUCCCCCGGCUCAACCGGGGAACGGGCGCCGAUACGGCCGUCCUGGAGGGAGGUAGGGGGAGCUGGAACUUCCGGUGGAGCGGUGAAAUGCGUUGAGAUCGGAAGGAACGCCCGCGGCGAAAGCGAGCUCCUGGACCUCUUCUGACGCUGAGACGCGAAAGCCACGGGAGCGAACGGGAUUAGAUACCCCGGUAGUCC